GAUGAACGCUGGCGGCGUGCCUAAUACAUGCAAGUCGAGCGAACAGAUAAGGAGCUUGCUCCUUUGACGUUAGCGGCUGACGGGUGAGUAACACGUGGGUAACCUACCUAUAAGACUGGAAUAACUCCGGGAAACCGGUGCUAAUGCCGGAUAACAUUUAGAACCGCAUGGUUCUAAAGUUAAAGGUGGUUUUGCUGUCACUUUUAGAUGGACCCGCGCCGGAUUAGCUAGUUGGUAAGGUAACGGCUUACCAAGGCAACGAUCCGUAGCCGACCUGAGAGGGUGAUCGGCCACACUGGAACUGAGACACGGUCCAGACUCCUACGGGAGGCAGCAGUAGGGAAUAUUCCGCAAUGGGCGCAAGCCUGACGGAGCAACGCCGCGUGAGUGAUGAAGGUCUUCGGAUCGUAAAACUCUGUUAUUAGGGAAGAAAAAAUGUGUAAGUAACUGUGCACGUCUUGACGGUACCUAAUCAGAAAGCCACGGCUAACUACGUG
rnacentral:rRNA from 1 species